GUCAUAAACCUCAUCGUAUGAGGUGAAGAAUUCUUGGCCUUCAUUUGAGAGUAAUUCACUCAUUUUGGUGUCAUAUUGCUUAGCAUCAAACUGAGAUCCUUCUGGUGCCAAACCUGCCAUGACUGCAUAAAGAAAAACAUAUAUUAUAUGCAAAUUUUACAAAAGUUUAAGAGGGAAGUGUCAUAAUACAAAUUACAAAACUAAACAGGUAAAGAACACAAUUACAUCCUGGUACUGCAUCAGUUCCACCAAUAAAAAGGAGAGAAAAUCAGAAAGAUUGUAUAACAUAUUAUACAAUCUAGGGAAGAACGUCCUUAUAAAUUAUUCCGUAAAUGCUAGAAGCACAAGAAAGAACACACAAACACAAAUGAAAUAAUCCACCAGACCACACAAUGAUUCACUGUCGUCCACCCAUUACCCCAUAAUGGUAGGAAACAGAAGGAAAUUGUCACAGAAGAGCCAAACUUGCAAACCAAACAUAAAGAGGAGAACAAGCAUUAAACUUCUGUUUUAGUGUCUGGAGAAGAAGAUAUGCGAGGGGUAGCCAGGUAUCUGAUACAUAGGGUGUAUACCCUUCACCAUAAGACUACUUUGCCCAGUCCUCCAGAAUAUCAAAAAUUCAGAACCAAGGACUCAUUAUCUAAUAAAACAAGUUAAGAAAGAGACUGUUUCUCAAUGGAUUAAAAGAAACAGGUUACUAUCUCCCACCAUGAAAUUAUACAACAAUACAUUAUCAUAAAACUGUGGCCUUCUAAUAUGGGAUAAUCAUUAAAACAAGCAUCUGUGUAGCAUCAAAUGUUGGCAAAUUGUCUUAAAUAGUAAAUACAUACAAAUAUCUACCCUUUUGUAUGUGCUCUACAAUUGUAGUUGAGAACAAACAGAGAUUAUUCUAUAGAAAAGUACCACCUAAAUAGAAAACCAUAAGAACAAAACAAAAAGUACUAAUAAGGCAUAGCACAUAAGUAUAUCUAUGCUACUAUUGAGGAACGAGAAUUAGCAGUCUAAUAGCUAGCAGGGAAAAAAAUUUAGUGUCUAUUCAACUUCUGAUAAGACCAAUAAGUAAGUUAAUCCAUCUUGCCUUAUAUCAAGGCCAGAGUCCCAGAAAGAAUAAUUCUUCCUCUAAAAAGCUUAUAAAACUGUUCUAUAGUAACAAUCUGGUACUCCUCUAUUUUCUCUUUGUUCUCAAAUCAGGACCAGCUGACCUCUCAUAACCUGAAAAACUAACUAGACCAAGAAUCACUCAAGUAAUACAUCAUACAAAUAAUAAAACUCAAAACUUUAACUCCAAAACAAAGAAACAGAUCAAUCCCAGGUCCAAAAAACGAAGCCAACCACCAUAUCAAAUCCACAGCUAAAUCACCCUCCAAAAAGGGCAACAAAAAAAAAAUAUAAAUAAAGCGUUUAACAAAUACCCAGGUAGAGAUACGUAAAAUCAUAACCUUAAACAUUAAGAAAAAGAUCAACUCACGUAUAGAUCUGUCCAGAAGACCGACACCAACAAUUACAAACCAGCUAAUUACGCACACAGACACAUGUAUAUAGAAGAGAAUGAAAUAAAGAGAGUGAGGGAAGAGACCUGAUAGUAAGCAAGAGGUUGAUGGAGAGGUAGAGAGAUUUGGAGACUUUUUUGAGAGUAGAGAGAUAAAACUAGGGUUUCUAAUCCCAAACUCCUCGGAUCUGCGCCUUGGAGUUUGAAGAACAACAGCCUGAGCGUUUCUGAUUAGCAAUUGUCAAUGAUUUUGUUCUCAAUUUAGAUUUGCUCUUCCAGUUUCUGUACUUCGCUUUACUCAAAUG
rnacentral:misc_RNA from 1 species